GACGAACGCUGGCGGCGUGCUUAACACAUGCAAGUCGAACGGAAAGGCCCUGCUUUUGUGGGGUGCUCGAGUGGCGAACGGGUGAGUAACACGUGAGUAACCUGCCCUUGACUUUGGGAUAACUUCAGGAAACUGGGGCUAAUACCGGAUAGGAGCUCCUGCUGCAUGUUGGGGGUUGGAAAGUUUCGGCGGUUGGGGAUGGACUCGCGGCUUAUCAGCUUGUUGGUGGGGUAGUGGCUUACCAAGGCUUUGACGGGUAGCCGGCCUGAGAGGGUGACCGGCCACAAUGGGACUGAGAGACGGACCAGAAUCCUACGGGAGGCAGCAGUGGGGAAUAUUGCACAAUGGGCGGAAGCCUGAUGCAGCAACGCCGCGUGCGGGAUGACGGCCUUCGGGUUGUAAACCGCUUUCGCCUGAGACGAAGCGUGAGUGACGGUAAUGGGUAAAGAAGCACCGGCUAACUACGUG
rnacentral:rRNA from 1 species